rnacentral:rRNA from 1 species
GACGAACCGUCCAAACGUUAUUCGGAAUCACUGGGCUUAAAGGGCGCGUAGGCGGCCGAGCGGGUCGCGGGUGAAAUCCCCCAGCUUAACUGGGGAACUGCCCUCGAUACCACUGCGGCUCGAGGAAGGAAGGGGCAAUCGGAACUGUCGGUGGAGCGGUGAAAUGCGUUGAUAUCGACAGGAACGCCGGUGGCGAAGGCGGGUCUCUGGACAGUUCCUGACGCUGAGGCACGAAGGCCAGGGAG